GCAUCAGUUAGGUACAACCUUACCUGUUACCUUAGAAAUAAGGUUUCAGAACAUGAUGAUUGGAUUCAAUGAAUACGUGAUUAAUUCCCGUAUUCGUUUAGAGUCUUGCAACCUCUUUACGAAUCUUAUCUGAG